rnacentral:rRNA from 1 species
GGGGAUAACACUUGGAAACAGGUGCUAAUACCGUAUAACACUAUUUUCCGCAUGGAAGAAAGUUGAAAGGCGCUUUUGCGUCACUGAUGGAUGGACCCGCGGUGCAUUAGCUAGUUGGUGAGGUAACGGCUCACCAAGGCCACGAUGCAUAGCCGACCUGAGAGGGUGAUCGGCCACACUGGGACUGAGACACGGCCCAGACUCCUACGGGAGGCAGCAGUAGGGAAUCUUCGGCAAUGGACGAAAGUCUGACCGAGCAACGCCGCGUGAGUGUAGAAGGUUUUCGGAUCGUAAAACUCAGUUGUUAGAGAAGAACAAGGAUGAGAGUAAAACGUUCAUCCCUUGACGGUAUCUAACCAGAAAGCCACGGCUAACUACGUGCCAGCAGCCGCGGUAAUACGUAGGUGGCAAGCGUUGUCCGGAUUUAUUGGGCGUAAAGCGAGCGCAGGCGGUUUCUUAAGUCUGAUGUGAAAGCCCCCGGCUCAACCGGGGAGGGUCAUUGGAAACUGGGAGACUUGAGUGCAGAAGAGGAGAGUGGAAUUCCAUGUGUAGCGGUGAAAUGCGUAGAUAUAUGGAGGAACACCAGUGGCGAAGGCGGCUCUCUGGUCUGUAACUGACGCUGAGGCUCGAAAGCGUGGGGAGCGAACAGGAUUAGAUACCCUGGUAGUCCACGCCGUAAACGAUGAGUGCUAAGUGUUGGAGGGUUUCCGCCCUUCAGUGCUGCAG